UUUGCCAACUUGAGAAAAAACUCAAAAAUGAGUACAGAGAAGGGACAGCAGAGAAAUGUUUCUCUUAGGCACUAUAUCAGAAACAUCAAGAAGCUGACUACUCGAGAGGAAGAGGAGCUCAAGACAACAAUACGAAAGAUUACCAGGUACCAACCUGUACAACCAGGCUUCGCGUGACUGUAUCAAUACGGCCUCUCUCUGGAACGCUCACAAUCUCAUUGUCACACACAG